rnacentral:tRNA from 1 species
GAGGGUAUAGCUCAAAUGGUAGAGUGCAUGCUUAGCAUACACGGGUCCUGGGUUCAAUCCCUAGUACUGCCU